ensembl:lncRNA
CUACGCUGCAUGCUCUCCCCCGCCCAUCUCCAGGCAGGCCUGGCUCUGGGUCCCACCCUAGGGUCCCACUUCUGGGCAGCAUAGCCUGUCCCUGAGAGUUUAGAGUCACCCAUUCAUGUCCCCUUUCACUCCAGAACCCUCAAGCAAAUUACUUAACCUCACUGUGCCUUAGUUUUCUUAUCUGUAACUUGGGUAUUCACCCCUAGGGAAGCUCUGGGGAUUAGAGAAGAGAGCAGCUCCCUAAGCCUUGUCGGCAUAGCCAGUCUUCUCUACAUGUCUGGCCCUCACCUGGAAAAGGAGGCCUCAUCUCCGAGAGCACUGCUUCAAGGAGACAAACUGACUCAGCAGGGCAGGAGAUGGCAACAUCCACAGGAUUCAGAGGCAGGCCUUGGUUUAUUUGGGGUGGCGAGACUACUGGCGAUCCCUGAGAGAGCAAAAUCAUGGAGCCUUCCAAGGUCUUCAUGAGGCAGCCGCCGAUCACACCAGGAUACAGUGAUAAGUGGCAGCAUGGAGAAUACAGUCUUGUCUCUGUCCUUGCCUUGGCCCACUGUCCGUAUCUGUCCAGCCCACUGGGUUAGUGCAGGUGCUCCAGUUUCUAAGGCAUACCCUGAAAAAACCAGUGUUCAUAGCUGGGCUCUGGUAAGUGGCGAGAAAGAACGUAGACCAGAUCUCUGUGACAUGCAUGCUGGAAGUGCUUCAAACCUGUUGGGUGAAUUUUAACAAGGAUAACACCGUGGUAUGAGGAUUGGUAUAGUGAAUAAAGUUGGGCUCUGUCCUUUGCUGACUGGGCUUUCUCAAGCCCUCCCCCCACCCAGAGAUGACCUUAUGUUCUUGUUUUUUCCUGUAUCCCCCUAAGGGAGGGUGGCCAACUGCCCUUUUAUUUUUUUCUGAAACUGUCCCGGCUGUAGCACUUGUCUAUGUCCAGGAUCCCCCUAGUCCUUGGCAGACUAGGACCAUUGGGCCCCCUUCCUAAAGACUCUCUCUCCUCAGGCUUCUGGGCCACUGAGAACUCACUGCAUCACAUACAUGUGGGUGACAAACCCAGUGGCUCCAUGUGCCCUCCACGCUCACCCACAGCCAUCCUUGGGGGCAGAGGUGCUUGAUAGUAUUCCAAGGUCCUAGCCUCGCCCUGGUCCUACUGGCUAGGUAAGGGAACAGGCUCUGGUUCUGACAUACUCAGAUUCAGGUCGAGCCUCUGCAUGGCCACUCUCUACCUCUUCAUGGUAAGGGAAACAAAUCCUAUAAAAUGGAUGUACUUGUGUUGUAGGGCACAGUAACCAGUCACCGUAAACUAGGUGACUAAAAGCAACAAAAGCGUAUUCUCUCCUUGUUCUGUAGGCCUGAAAUCAAGGUGUCAGUAGUUCUCUCUGAAGUCUCUAGGGGAGGAUCUUUCCGUCACCCCUGCCAGCUUGGGGGGGCCCCAGGUGGCCCCUGGCCAUGUCAGCAUCACUCCAGCCCUCACGACUCCUCACAUGGUCUCCUCCGGUGUCUCUCAGUUUAUGUCCCUCAAGUUUCCUCUUUUCAUUUAUAAGGACACCAGUCUUUGGAUUUAGGGCCCAUCCUAAAUCUAGGAUGGUCUCAUUUCUAGAUCCUUAAUCACAUCUCCAAAGACCCUUUUUCCAGGGAGGGUCACCUUCACAGGUCUCAGGGGAUCUAUGUGGGGGAUACGGUGCAGCCCGCUGCAUGGGAUACCGCACAAUUGUUGUGAUGACUAAAGGAGCCAGUGCACAUUACUCUUUUAAAUAUCUUAGUCCUUAGACUCAAAGGCGCACACACACUCGUGCAUGUUCAUAUAAAUACGUAGAUCAGCAUAGGCCCUGAAGGUAGAGAAGCCACUGUGGCAGGGCCCCUAGGUUUCUGUGGGUUCUCCUGUGAUACUAGGGUAUCUGUUGAUCCCCUAUGGGUUGGAGGAGCUGAAUGGUGUGAGGAAGCUUUGAGCACAGCCAAGGUGAGUCUAUGAAUUCGAGUCUUCCAGUGAUGGCUCAUAACAGGGCUCUGAGGUUGGGGGUUGCUGCUUUUAGUCCUUUGACUAGGUUUUCUAUCCAUAGGGACAAAAGCAAAAAUGUUGGGCUG